AUUGAACGCUGGCGGCAUGCCUUACACAUGCAAGUCGAACGGCAGCGCGGGAGCAAUCCUGGCGGCGAGUGGCGAACGGGUGAGUAAUACAUCGGAACGUGCCCAAUCGUGGGGGAUAACGCAGCGAAAGCUGUGCUAAUACCGCAUACGAUCUACGGAUGAAAGCAGGGGAUCGCAAGACCUUGCGCGAAUGGAGCGGCCGAUGGCGGAUUAGGUAGUUGGUGAGGUAAAGGCUCACCAAGCCUUCGAUCUGUAGCUGGUCUGAGAGGACGACCAGCCACACUGGGACUGAGACACGGCCCAGACUCCUACGGGAGGCAGCAGUGGGGGAAUUUUGGACAAUGGGCGAAAGCCUGAUCCAGCCAUGCCGCGUGCAGGAUGAAGG
rnacentral:rRNA from 1 species